rnacentral:ncRNA from 2 species
UAUAGGUGCCUUGUCCGUGGUUCUGCGUGCCCGCAAGGGAACGCAGCUAAGAGGGAAGCCGGUGACCUGAGCGCAUUCCAAAAAUGCGCGCCUCAAGGAAGUCCGGCGCUGCCCCCGCAACUGUCAGCGGCGAGUUCUGAUCAGCAUAUGCCAUUGGGGUGACAGCCCGAGAAGGCGAGAUUGGAACGACGACCCGCAAGCCAGGAGACCUGCCAUCGACCUCAUAUCCAC